CCUACGGGAGGCAGCAGUGAGGAAUAUUGGUCAAUGGGCGGGAGCCUGAACCAGCCAAGUCGCGUGCGGGCAGAAGGUUCUACGGAUUGUAAACCUCUUUUGCCGGGGAGCAACGGGGUCCUUGCGAGGGCGCGAUGAGAGUACCCGGAGAAAAAGAGUCGGCGAACUGCGUGCCAGCAGCCGCGGUAAUACGGAGGAUGCGAGCGUUAUAGGGAUUGAUUGGGUUUAAAGGGGGCGUAGGCGGGCUGUUAAGUCAGCGGUCAAAUGUCGGGGCUCAACCCCGGCCUGCCGUUGAAACUGGCGGCCUCGAGUGGGCGAGAAGUGUGCGGAAGGCGUGGUGUAGCGGUGAAAUGCAUAGAUAUCACGCAGAACUCCGAUUGCGAAGGCAGCAUACCGGCGCCCGACUGACGCUGAGGCACGAAAGCGUGGGUAUCGAACAGGAUUAGAUACCCUUGUAGUC
rnacentral:rRNA from 1 species